rnacentral:rRNA from 1 species
AAGUAAAAGUCGUAACAAGGUUUCCGUAGGUGAACCUGCGGAAGGAUCAUUAAUGAAACUUCAAAGUCGGCCAAAGGUUGUUGCUGGUGAUUAUUCACAUGUGCACGCCUUUGGUCGCAAAUCCACACACACCUGUGCAUCUAUGACUCGAGGUUGUAAUGACUGAGAGUAACUUUUAUACACUCUUGUAUGUAAUGGAAUGUCUUUUUGUGCUACAAUGUACAAUAUAAACAACUUUCAACAACGGAUCUCUUGGCUCUCGCAUCGAUGAAGAACGCAGCGAAAUGCGAUAAGUAAUGUGAAUUGCAGAAUUCAGUGAAUCAUCGAAUCUUUGAACGCACCUUGCACCCUUUGGUAUUCCGAAGGGUACGCCCGUUUGAGUGUCAUUGUAAUCUCACUUCUACAACUUUAUUGUUGUUUGAAUGUGGACUUGGAUGUUGCCGUUUUAUCACGGCUCGUCUUAAAUGCCUGAGUGUACCCUGUUUUGCAGCGUAUCCAGUGUAAUAAACAUUUCACUAGAGUUGGUUGAAAGACCACGUUGACUAUAUGGGCUCUAUGCUUCAAACCGUCUGCCAUGUGGACAAUUUCUUGACAAUUUGACCUCAAAUCGGGUGGGACUACCCGCUGAACUUAAGCAUAUCAAUAAGCGGAGGAAAAGAAACUAACAAGGAUUCCCCUAGUAACGGCGAGUGAAGAGGGAAAAGCUCAAAUUUUAAAUCUGGUGUCUUUGACUCCCGAGUUGUAAUCUAGAGAAGUGUUUUCCGUGUCGGACCGUGUACAAGUUCCCUGGAACGGGGCGUCAUAGAGGGUGAGAAUCCCGUAUAUGCCAUGGACUACCGAUGCUCUGUGAUACACUCUCAACGAGUCGAGUUGUUUGGGAAUGCAGCUCAAAAUGGGUGGUAAAUUCCAUCUAAAGCUAAAUAUUGGCGAGAGACCGAUAGCGAACAAGUACCGUGAGGGAAAGAUGAAAAGCACUUUGGAAAGAGAGUGAAACAGUACGUGAAAUUGUUGAAAGGGAAGCGUUUGAAGUCAGUCGCAUCUGUUGGGGUUCAGCCUGGCUUUUGCCUGGUGUAUUUCCUUUCCGAUGGGUCAGCAUCAGUUUCGACCGAGGGAAAAAGACAUUUGGAAUGUGGCUGUCUUCGGGCAGUGUUAUAGCCUUGUGUUGUAUGUCUCGGUUGGGACUGAGGAUUGCAGCGCGCCAUAAAUGGCCGGGGGUCGCUCCUCUCGACACGCGCUUAGGAUGCUGGCAUAAUGGCUUUAAGCGACCCGUCUU